GACGAACGCUGGCGGCGUGCUUAACACAUGCAAGUCGAACGGAAAGGCCCUGCUUUUGUGGGGUGCUCGAGUGGCGAACGGGUGAGUAACACGUGAGUAGCCUGCCCUUGACUUGGGGAUAACUUCAGGAAACUGGGGCUAAUACCGGAUAGGAGCUCCUGCUGCAGGGGGGGGGUUGGAAAGUUUGGGCGGUUGGGGAUGGACUCGCGGCUUAUCAGCUUGUUGGUGGGGUAGUGGCUUACCAAGGCUUUGACGGGUAGCCGGCCUGAGAGGGUGACCGGCCACAUUGGGACUGAGAUACGGCCCAGACUCCUACGGGAGGCAGCAGUGGGGAAUAUUGCACAAUGGGCGGAAGCCUGAUGCAGCAACGCCGCGUGCGGGAUGACGGCCUUCGGGUUGUAAACCGCUUUCGCCUGUGACGAAGCGUGAGUGACGGUAAUGGGUAAAGAAGCACCGGCUAACUACGUG
rnacentral:rRNA from 1 species